GACGAACGCUGGCGGCGUGCUUAACACAUGCAAGUCGAACGGAAAGGCCCUGCUUGCAGGGUGCUCGAGUGGCGAACGGGUGAGUAACACGUGGGUGAUCUGCCCCUUACUUUGGGAUAAGCCUGGGAAACUGGGUCUAAUACUGGAUAGGACCAUGCUGUAGGUGGUGUGGUGGAAAGAUUUUUUCGGUAAGGGAUGAGCUCGCGGCCUAUCAGCUUGUUGGUGGGGUAAUGGCCUACCAAGGCGUCGACGGGUAGCCGGCCUGAGAGGGUGGACGGCAACAUUGGGACUGAGAUACGGCCCAGACUCCUACGGGAGGCAGCAGUGGGGAAUAUUGCACAAUGGGCGCAAGCCUGAUGCAGCGACGCCGCGUGGGGGAUGACGGCCUUCGGGUUGUAAACUCCUUUCAGCCAUGACGAAGCCUCUUUUGGGGUGACGGUAGUGGUAGAAGAAGCACCGGCUAACUACGUG
rnacentral:rRNA from 1 species